CUUCUACUCUGCUCCUCCUCUCUAAUCCUUUGUCCCUGGGUGAGAAUGCUUGCUUUCUGAAUGCAAUGCACCCGGGCAAGGAUUCCAAGAGGGUGAGUCUUCUCUGCAUGGAG
rnacentral:pre_miRNA from 1 species